GACGAACGCUGGCGGCGUGCCUAAUACAUGCAAGUAGAACGCUGAAGGAGGAGCUUGCUUCUCUGGAUGAGUUGCGAACGGGUGAGUAACGCGUAGGUAACCUGCCUGGUAGUGGGGGAUAACUAUUGGAAACGAUAGCUAAUACCGCAUAAUAUUGACUAUUGCAUGAUAGUCAGUUGAAAGGUGCAACUGCACCACUACCAGAUGGACCUGCGUUGUAUUAGCUAGUUGGUGGGGUAACGGCUCACCAAGGCGACGAUACAUAGCCGACCUGAGAGGGUGAUCGGCCACACUGGGACUGAGACACGGCCCAGACUCCUACGGGAGGCAGCAGUAGGGAAUCUUCGGCAAUGGACGGAAGUCUGACCGAGCAACGCCGCGUGAGUGAAGAAGGUUUUCGGAUCGUAAAGCUCUGUUGUAAGAGAAGAACGAGUGUGAGAGUGGAAAGUUCACACUGUGACGGUAUCUUACCAGAAAGGGACGGCUAACUACGUGCCAGCAGCCGCGGUAAUACGUAGGUCCCGAGCGUUGUCCGGAUUUAUUGGGCGUAAAGCGAGCGCAGGCGGUUAGAUAAGUCUGAAGUUAAAGGCUGUGGCUUAACCAUAGUACGCUUUGGAAACUGUUUAACUUGAGUGCAAGAGGGGAGAGUGGAAUUCCAUGUGUAGCGGUGAAAUGCGUAGAUAUAUGGAGGAACACCGGUGGCGAAAGCGGCUCUCUGGCUUGUAACUGACGCUGAGGCUCGAAAGCGUGGGGAGCAAACAGGAUUAAAUACCCUGGUAGUCCACCCCGUAAACAAUAAGGGCUAGGGGUUGGACCCUUUCCGGGGUUUAGGGCCCAACCUAAGCCAUUAACCACCCCCCCGGGGGGAGCCAACCCCAAGGUUAAAAUCUCAAGGAAUUGACGGCGCGCCCGCACAAGCGGGAGAGUGUGUGGUUUUAUUCAAAGCCACGCAAAGAACCUUACGCGGUCGUGAUCUCGCUCUGACCUCUCUAGAUAUAGAGUUUUCCCUCGACACAGGAGACAGGUGGUGCACGGUUGUCGUCGUCAUCUCUCGUGAGAUGAUGGUGGAAUUCCCGCCACAACCGCAACCACUCCUGUUGUUAGUCGCCAUUCAUUUGGUGGCCCCUGCGACACAGCCGGCGGUAAUCAGAAGAAGGAGGGGAGGAAUUACGACCAAUCUGCCUCCUCCUAACUACGCUAGACUACGCGCUAUACUGGAUGGGUGAUACAACGAGGGUCGGGGAGGGCACGAUAAACUCAUCACUUCAGUCUCAUCUCUGAUUGUCAGCGUACGCUUGCCCUCAUCUACUCGGAAUCGCAAUUACUAGUCGAUCAGCGAUCCGCGCCGCGUGAUGACUCGGUCCU
rnacentral:rRNA from 1 species